UCUGAUGGAGGAGUAUGAGGAGAUAAGGAGGAGCAGAAAUUUCUCCAACCAUCACAUUUUUUUCUUUUGAAAACCUGUUUUCUUUUUUUUAUAGCUUCCGUACAAUCUUUAUCCCACCAAGGUGGACUAGGAAUAUGAGAAGGUUCAUUUUUCACUGGGAAGAUUUCAUUAGCACUUUCAAUCAAGACAUCCGUGAAAACAGGAGCAUCAAUAAGUGCAUCAUUAGACAAUAAUUGUAGCAAUUUUGUAUCUACUUUAUUACUAAAUUGCUCCCAUGUUUCUGAUGUAACAUUAUUAAGAUUAUAUCUAGGGAGCAGUUUUA